CUUCAUAUCAAAAGUGUUGACCUGCCAACACUGUCUUUGCAAAUAGAUUUGAUGAUGCUCCAUACCUAUCUCAUCCUGUGCUGAUGAAGAAACAACAAAGGCAAUACUGCGCAGCACGCCAGAUCAGAAGCUGCUGAAAUAUAUAUGGCCACAAAUGUCUGAUCACAUUUGGACAGCUAGGACAAUGCCUGGACAUUGCUUCAUCAGAAGUGGAUAAGACCUUGGAGCAGGACAUGCUGAAAGCUGCUUCACUCACUCAGAUUUCUGACUUGGGACUGAGGUUUUACAGAAAUAAAUACAGGACUGAAUCCUGCUGGGAAAAUCUCUCCUCUGCAAACGAGAGAAAAGUCUUUACACUGAAAUAAGAGGCAAGCUCACCUCUUGUAAUAUUUCUGUGUAUACUGGGAAUGUCAUAAUAAGGAAAACUGAAACUGUCUGUUCUAUGAAGAUAUUGCCAUCUGAGACCAGAAUAUUUCAUAUUUUUACAGCAUCUCUUAACAAUAGAAAAUUAGAAAUAUCUGUUCAGACUGCAAAGAUUUUAUUUUUCCAAAUGUAUGAUUAAUUGAAAUCCUUUGCAUGUUCAAUCAUAAUAUUUAAUCAACUAGACCAACUUUAUGCCAUUUGUAUUGACAGUUGCGUUGAAAAACAGUUUUAAUAAAGGUGCAGAAGUAUUUCCAAGCACAUUUUUUAUCCAGGCUACAAAUACUUAGAAGUGAGUCAUCUUACAUAUGUAUAUUAACAAAGACAUAGCAAUAAAGAGCAGCAGACAUUUGCAUAUUGCUUUGAAUACGCAAAGCAGUUGUGUAUUCAAAGUGAUCUGCACUGAAACGCGCAUUUAUUUUCCUCAAUCUGGUUCCUGGUGGGGCAGCACACAUCCCCCCAGGAGGUGAAACCAACAGCCAGGGGAAGGACAGGGCAGGCAGGCCUGUAUAUGACAGUGCCAUUUCAUGCCAGCUCUAAGUUUACAUCGAAUCUUCAGGACGAAUUACUUUCCAUGCAGGGACAGCUUGCAGAACGCUGGUGCCAGUGAGCGGUACCUGAUGCUGGGGAGGCAGUGGCCAGGAGCCCUCCUUUCUGUAGCUAUUCACACCUAGAACAACACAUAAACCGGACACGGGUUUGCACGGAGGGUGGGCAUUGCUUCUUAUGAUGGCAGCGCAGGGCCUGUGGCAAUAAGCUGCAUGGGUGUGGUGGGCAGGCCUAGCGUGGGCAGGAGCCGUGGCUGCAGGGGUUGGGACAUCCAAAUAAACUGAUUUAAAUUAAGCCUGGCUGCAGGCAGAGCUCUGGGGGCAGAAGCACGUGUUGUGGUGCAAGGUG